GGUGAGAUUUGGGUUUUUGAAUGAUGGGUUUAAUGAUUUAUUUCAAGUGAAAGUGAGAAUAGGGUAGGCCUUUUCUUCAUCCCUUCUCCCUUUUCCCUGAAUUUAUCGUCAAGAUUUGGGCCUAUUUGGUUGGUGGUUUUUUUUUUAAGGAAUUUUGGAACACAAGCAUUAGUAAUGUUGUGAAAUCUGAAUUGAAAUUUCGUAAUAGGCAGAUUAGAAUUGCAAAUCAAGCCACUUGCUUCGAUUUUUCCCCAAUGGAAACCCAUGUGAAAAUUUCCCAUUGAAGAAAAACAAAGAAGAGAGGUUAGAAAUCAACAUGAACAGAGACAGUUCUCUUAAAGCAACUUCAAAAUUUUCUGAGCAAAGUCAACUUCCUGUUAUAAAUGGUAAAGGUAAUGGUCAAUUGAUGUAUAAAAAGAAAGGGUCGAAGAAGACACAACAUGAUUCAAGUGUUAAAAAUGGGAAGCCAUCAAGUGUGUUUAAGAGGAGAGUAUUUUGCUUCUCAAAAUCCUUUCCUGAGAAUAGGCAUUUGCACCCAUGAAUGGAGGAACUGCUUCUGAGUUACCUGAUACAAACUCCUGGAAGCAACCAUUUGAUGCUCAGAGAUACUUUUCACAUAGUGAAAGUGACUAACAGGACUGUGUAUACCUUUUUUUUUUUUUUUUUUUUGAGAAUUGGACUGUGUAUACCUAAAUAAAGAAAAGGAGCAAGUUGAGACAAUUUUCCCUCAGUUUUUCUCUCAAUCUAUUACUAUUGGUGUCAA